CACGACUUCUCAAGAAGAGUGGUAUUUUACAAAAAAGAUCUUGCUCAGCCUUGUCUCCAGGAGCACAGCACAAACGAGUUUUUAACCUUGAUGAACCAGAAUCCGAUGUUUCCGAGCACAUUGAAGAAAUUAUAAGGGACAAUUGUACUUGGGCGGAAAUGGAAAGGCAUUGGGAUGCUUCAAAAAACUUUAGACUAUUUGAGAUCACAAAAGCCGAAUCAACAGUGGAUAUCCUAGCCAAAUGGAAGCAAUAUAAGAACCCGAUUGGCUUUAAAUUGAUCAAUAUGGAUUUCAAACCCCUAUAUCCUAAAGCUGAGAGUUUAUUAUUAAAAUAUGAUGAUUUUUCUGUAAAAAUUAUACCCAUUUUUGAAGACGAAAUAAAGGAUCCAACUAGUCGCCAGACCUUAAGCGAAAUGAUGAAUAAUGAAA